rnacentral:rRNA from 1 species
AGAGCGAACGCUGGCGGCAGGCUUAACGCAUGCAAGUCGAGCGGGCGUAGCAAUACGUCAGCGGCAGACGGGUGAGUAACGCGUGGGAACGUACCUUUUGGUUCGGAACAACCCAGGGAAACUUGGGCUAAUACCGGAUAAGCCCUUACGGGGAAAGAUUUAUCGCCGAAAGAUCGGCCCGCGUCUGAUUAGCUAGUUGGUGAGGUAAUGGCUCACCAAGGCGACGAUCAGUAGCUGGUCUGAGAGGAUGAUCAGCCACAUUGGGACUGAGACACGGCCCAAACUCCUACGGGAGGCAGCAGUGGGGAAUAUUGGACAAUGGGCGCAAGCCUGAUCCAGCCAUGCCGCGUGAGUGAUGAAGGCCCUAGGGUUGUAAAGCUCUUUUGUGCGGGAAGAUAAUGACGGUACCGCAAGAAUAAGCCCCGGCUAACUUCGCGCCAGCAGCCGC